GUGGGGUUAUGGCUCAGUGGUAGAGCACUUGCCUAGCAUGUGUGAGGCACUGGGUUCAAUUCUCAGCACCACA
rnacentral:tRNA from 1 species